rnacentral:rRNA from 1 species
UACGGGGGGCAAGCGUUGUUCGGAAUUACUGGGCGUAAAGGGCUCGUAGGCGGCCAACUAAGUCAGACGUGAAAUCCCUCGGCUUAACCGGGGAACUGCGUCUGAUACUGGAUGGCUUGAGUGUGGGAGAGGAAUGCGGAAUUCCAGGUGUAGCGGUGAAAUGCGUAGAUAUCUGGAGGAACACCGGUGGCGAAGGCGGCAUUCUGGACCAUUACUGACGCUGAGGAGCGAAAGCCAGGGGAGCAAACGGG